AUUGAACGCUGGCGGAAUGCUUUACGCAUGCAAGUCGAACGGUAGAGGGGGCAACCCCUCGAGAGUGGCGAACGGGUGAGUAAUAUAUCGGAACGUGCCCAGUCGUGGGGGAUCACGUAGCGAAAGUUACGCUAAUACCGCAUCAGAACUAAGGAUGAAAGCGGGGGAUCGCAAGAACUCGCGCGAUUGGAGCGGCCGAUAUCAGAUUAGGUAGUUGGUGGGGUAACAGCUCACCAAGACAACGAUCUGUAGCUGGUCUGAGAGGACGACCAGCCACACUGGAACUGAGACACGGGCCAGACUCCUACGGGAGGGAGCAGUGGGGAAUUUUGGACAAUGGACGCAAGUCUGAUCCAGCCAUUCCGCGUGCAGGAUGAAGGCCCUCGGGUUGUAAACUGCUUUUGUACGGAACGAAAAGGUCUCUCUUAAUACGGGGGACUCAUGACGGUACCGUAAGAAUAAGCACCGGCUAACUACGUGCCAGCCGCCGCCGUAA
rnacentral:rRNA from 1 species